AAAAUAGGUGGCAAAUAAUACAAAUCAUAGUUCACCUUCAUGAUGUAUUAAAGUGUAAAUAUUAAUGAUGAUUUGGAAAAAAUAACAAUAUCCAUUGAAAUUCAAAGGUAUCAGUUAAACAUUCUAAUUUAAGUAAUAAACAUAUUUGUUUGUUUUAAGUCAGAUUUUCUUCAUAUUUUUUUUUGAGUGAAAAUGUAAUACCCAAAUCUUCUUUCAUUCAUCUUAGGUGCAUGACUCUUGCUUGAUAAUGAUGAAUAAUUCCUAGUUCUAACUUGUUUCUACAAAAACAGAUCUUGAUCAUACAUUUUUCAAAAACAUCUGUUAACAUUAUAUUAUAUCAUCUGUAAUAGUGCUACAUGUAUUGCAAAGAUAAAUACAGUAUAGAAGAAUAUUUUUCAUGAAGUGUUGUAAAAAAACUAAUAUACCAUAGAAGUAGAUGCGAGUUAGUACAUAUUAUUCAGAUCUUUAGAAAGAAACAUUAAUUUAUGGGUAAUGAUAUUAAAAUGUGAUAUGUUCUGUUAUGUAAAUAUUGUUGUGCAUUAAAGAGAAUAAAUAAAUGGUCAUUAAAUCAUUGAAAUCCUGAUGUGUUGAUUGUCUGAUCUAUCAAACUUAUUGAUCUGUUAGUAUAAAGGGG
rnacentral:lncRNA from 1 species